rnacentral:rRNA from 1 species
UCCUACGGGAGGCAGCAGUGGGGAAUAUUGCACAAUGGGGGAAACCCUGAUGCAGCGACGCCGCGUGGAGGAAGAAGGUCUUCGGAUUGUAAACUCCUGUUGUUGGGGAAGAUAAUGACGGUACCCAACAAGGAAGUGACGGCUAACUACGUGCCAGCAGCCGCGGUAAAACGUAGGUCACAAGCGUUGUCCGGAAUUACUGGGUGUAAAGGGAGCGCAGGCGGGAAAACAAGUUGGAAGUGAAAUCUAUGGGCUCAACCCAUAAACUGCUUUCAAAACUGUUUUUCUUGAGUAGUGCAGAGGUAGGCGGAAUUCCCGGUGUAGCGGUGGAAUGCGUAGAUAUCGGGAGGAACACCAGUGGCGAAGGCGGCCUACUGGGCACCAACUGACGCUGAGGCUCGAAAGUGUGGGUAGCAAACAGGAUUAGAUACCCUGGUAGUCCACACCGUAAACGAUGAUUACUAGGUGUUGGAGGAUUGACCCCUUCAGUGCCGCAGUUAACACAAUAAGUUAUCCACCA